rnacentral:rRNA from 1 species
CGAGGGGCAGCACGAUGUAGCAAUACAUUGGUGGCGACCGGCGCACGGGUGAGUAACGCGUAUGCAACCUACCUAUCAGAGGGGAAUAACCCGGCGAAAGUCGGACUAAUACCGCAUAAAACAGGGGUUCCACAUGGAAAUAUUUGUUAAAGAAUUAUCGCUGAUAGAUGGGCAUGCGUUCCAUUAGAUAGUUGGUGAGGUAACGGCUCACCAAGUCCACGAUGGAUAGGGGUUCUGAGAGGAAGGUCCCCCACACUGGUACUGAGACACGGACCAGACUCCUACGGGAGGCAGCAGUGAGGAAUAUUGGUCAAUGGGCGAGAGCCUGAACCAGCCAAGUCGCGUGAAGGAUGAAGGAUCUAUGGUUUGUAAACUUCUUUUAUAUGGGAAUAAAGUGAGGAACGUGUUCCUUUUUGUAUGUACCAUAUGAAUAAGCAUCGGCUAACUCCGUGCCAGCAGCCGCGGUAAUACGGAGGAUGCGAGCGUUAUCCGGAUUUAUUGGGUUUAAAGGGUGCGUAGGUGGUUAAUUAAGUCAGCGGUGAAAGUUUGUGGCUCAACCAUAAAAUUGCCGUUGAAACUGGUUGACUUGAGUAUAUUUGAGGUAGGCGGAAUGCGUGGUGUAGCGGUGAAAUGCAUAGAUAUCACGCAGAACUCUGAUUGCGAAGGCAGCUUACUAAACUAUAACUGACACUGAAGCACGAAAGCGUGGGGAUCAAACAGGAUUAGAUACCCUGGUAGUCCACGCAGUAAACGAUGAUUACUAGCUG